UGCGCGAAUCAGCCACUUGAAAUACAGUUGCUGUUCGUGAAAGAAGCAAUGAAGGCUCUACGUAUCAUUUUCCUCGUAGCUGCUGUUGUUGCUGAAACACGGAAGGAAGUUACGGAAGUUUUAUUCCCACCUGAUUGUACCAGCGACAGCGAUUGCCGAGUAUUACUCACAUACAGGAUAACGCACCCGUGCGCAAAACAUGUAAGUGAGAAACUUUAUGUUGUCAUAACGUAAUUCCGG